rnacentral:rRNA from 1 species
GAUGAACGCUGGCGGCGUGCCUAAUACAUGCAAGUCGAGCGAACAGACGAGGAGCUUGCUCCUCGGACGUUAGCGGCGGACGGGUGAGUAACACGUGGAUAACCUACCUAUAAGACUGGGAUAACUUCGGGAAACCGGAGCUAAUACCGGAUAAUAUAUUGAACCGCAUGGUUCAAUAGUGAAAGACGGUGUUGCUGGCACGUAUAGAUGGAUCCGCGCCGCAUGAGCUAGUUGGUAAGGUAACGGGUUACCAAGGCAACGAUGCGUAGCCGACCUGAGAGGGUGAUAGGCCACACUGGAACUGAGACACGGUCCAGACUCCUACGGGAGGCAGCAGUAGGGAAUCUUCCGCAAUGGGCGAAAGCCUGACGGAGCAACGCCGCGUGAGUGAUGAAGGUCUUCGGAUCGUAAAACUCUGUUAUUAGGGAAGAACAAACGUGUAAGUAACUAUGCACGUCUUGACGGUACCUAAUCAGAAAGCCCCGGCUAACUACGUG